CGCUGGCGGCGUGCCUAACACAUGCAAGUCGAGCGUGUUGAUUCUCUUCGGAUAUGAACCUAGCGGCGGACGGGUGAGUAACACGUGGGCAACCUGCCUCAUAGAGGGGAAUACCCUCCCGAAAGGGAGAUUAAUACCGCAUAACAUUGUAGCUUCGCGUGACGUAGCAAUUAAAGGAGUAAUCCGCUAUGAGAUGGGCCCGCGGCGCAUUACCUAGUUGGGGAGGUAACGGCUCACCAUGGCGACGAUGCGUAGCCGACCUGAGAGGAUGAUCGGCCACCUUGGGACUGAAACACGGCCCAGACUCCUACCGGAGGCAACAGUGGGGAAUAUUGCACAGUGGGGGAAACCCUGAUGCAACAACGCCGCGUGAGUGAUGACAGCCUUCGGCUUGUAAAGCUCUGUCUUCUUGGACGAUAAUGACGGUACCUGAGGAGGAAUGCCACGGCUAACUACGUGCCAUCAGCCAUCGGUAAUACUUAGGUGGCGAGCGUUGUCCGGAUUUACUGAUCGUAAAGGGAGCGUAAGCGGACUUUUAAGUGAGAUGUGAAAUACCCGGGCUCAACUUGGGUGCUGCAUUUCCAACUGGAACUCUAGAGUGCAGGAGAGGAUAAUGGACUUCCUAGUGUAACAGCUAAAUGCGUAGAGAUUAGAAGGAACACCAGUGGCGAAGGCGAUUCUCUGGACUGUAAACUGACGCUGAGGCUUGAAAGCGUGGGGAGCAAACAGGAUUAGAUACCCUGGUAGUUCACGCCGUAAACGAUGAAUACUAGGUGUAGGGGUUGUCAUGACCUCUGUGCCGCCGCUAACGCAUUAAGUAUUCCGCCUGGGGAGUACGGUCGCAAGAUUAAAACUCAAAGGAAUUGACGGGGGCCCGCACAAGCAGCGGAGCAUGUGGUUUAAUUCGAAGCAACGCGAAGAACCUUACCUAGACUUGACAUCUCCUGAAUUACCCGUAACUGGGGAAGCCACUUCGGAGGCAGGGAGGCAGGUGGUGCAUGGUUGUCGUCAGCUCGUGUCGUGAGAUGUUGGGUUAAGUCCCGCAACGAGCGCAACCCUUAUUGUUAGUUGCUACCAUUUAGUUGAGCACUCUAGCGAGACUGCCCGGGUUAACCGGGAGGAAGGUGGGGAUGACGUCAAAUCAUCAUGCCCCUUAUGUCUAGGGCUACUCACGUGCUACAAUGGCAAGUACAAAGAGAAGCAAGACCGUGAGGUGGAGCAAAACUCAAAAACUUGUCUCAGUUCGGAUUGUAGGCUGAAACUCGCCUACAUGAAGCUGGAGUUGCUAGUAAUCGCGAAUCAGCAUGUCGCGGUGAAUACGUUCCCGGGCCUUGUACACACCGCCCGUCACACCAUGAGAGUUGGCAAUACCCAACGUAAAAGAUCUAACCCGCAAGGGAGGAAGCGUCCU
rnacentral:rRNA from 1 species